rnacentral:rRNA from 1 species
GAGUUUGAUCCUGGCUCAGGAUGAACGCUGGCGGCGUGCCUAAUACAUGCAAGUCGAACGAAGAAGUAAGCUUGCUUACUUCUUAGUGGCGAACGGGUGAGUAAUACAUAAGCAAUCUGCCCAUAUGCCUGGGAUAACCGUUGGAAACGAUGGCUAAUACCGGAUAGGUGAAUUGAAGGCAUCUUUGAUUCAUUAAAGUUGGGAAACAACACAUAUGGAUGAGCUUAUGGCGCAUUAGCUAGUUGGUGAGGUAACGGCUCACCAAGGCGAUGAUGCGUAGCCGACCUGAGAGGGUGACCGGCCACACUGGGACUGAGACACGGCCCAGACUCCUACGGGAGGCAGCAGUAGGGAAUUUUCGGCAAUGGGGGAAACCCUGACCGAGCAACGCCGCGUGAGUGAAGAAGGCCUUCGGGUUGUAAAGCUCUGUUGUAAGGGAAGAAGAGAUCAUAGAGGGAAUGCUAUGAUUGUGACGGUACCUUACCAGAAAGCCACGGCUAACUACGUGCCAGCAGCCGCGGUAAUACGUAGGUGGCGAGCGUUAUCCGGAAUUAUUGGGCGUAAAGGGUGCGUAGGCGGCACACUAAGUCUAAGGUUAAAGUUCGAGGCUCAACUUCGGAUUGCCUUAGAAACUGGUGAGCUAGAGUGCAGGAGAGGGCAAUGGAAUUCCAUGUGUAGCGGUAAAAUGCGUAGAUAUAUGGAGGAACACCAGUGGCGAAGGCGGUUGCCUGGCCUGUAACUGACGCUGAGGCACGAAAGCGUGGGGAGCAAAUAGGAUUAGAUACCCUAGUAGUCCACGCUGUAAACGAUGAUUACUAAGUGUUGGAGAAAUUCAGUGCUGCAGUUAACGCAAUAAGUAAUCCGCCUGGGGAGUAUGCACGCAAGUGUGAAACUCAAAGGAAUUGACGGGGGCCCGCACAAGCGGUGGAGUAUGUGGUUUAUUCGAAGCAACGCGAAGAACCUUACCAGGUCUUGACAUACCGGGCAAAGCUCUAGAAGAUAGAGAAAUAGUAUGCCGGAUACAGGUGGUGCAUGCUGGUCGGUCAGCUCGUGUCGUGAGAUGGUGUUUAGUUCCCGCACCGAGCGCAUCCCUUGACUUAGUUACCAUUCAUCAGUUGGACUUACGAACAGCCGGUGACCUAUCGAAGAAGGU